GAUUGUCUUUAAGGAAGGGUGAUGGAAAUUCAGUACUAUUGAGGGAAGAGACCAUCUGUUUCACAUCUCAUUAAGAACUAUAUCCUGUUUCUGCUCUGCAACCCAGCAAGGCCUGAAAACAAGGAGCUAUGUUUAAACAAUACUUCCUCAGUUAAACUACAGUGUAUAUAAAUUGAACUCAGUUUUGCUCCAAAUGACCCACUUUUUCUGCCCACAGAAGUUCUUCAAAAGACCGCAGUUACUUGAAAUGCUUCAAGAAAAGUGAUUUCUUUCAUAAAGUGACUGAGAUGACUUGAAGUGCCAGAGUUUUGCUCAGAGUGAUGACAGCCAGCAAGGUCUGCUGGGACAGCGCUCGGCCGCGGAGCGGGCUCGGCACUCACCGCCUGCUGGGAGCACAAAGGCUCAGGGUUACCACUUAAACAGCGGCAUUUUCUCUCCAUCGUUCCUACACACACGGGGAUUUGCAGAGCUGUUGCUGAACAAUAGGUCUCAGGAUAUAAAAGACGUGCUCGGAAGUUACCCCUUUUUAAGCACGUUAAGGUAUGUGGUGGGUAGGGUGUCUGUAUGUGCAAGCAUAUGUGAGCAAGAGACGGGUGUUUGUUUGAGUAAGAAUCCCAAAAAUAAACACAUAACACUAGAGAAGUUUUUCACUGUUUAAGCAGAGUGUUAUCUGAUAUUUCAUACAGUGGUUAUUUUCUGGCCUUGCCAUAAAACCAGCAGGAUGAGUGAGAAAAAACCUCUGCCUUUUUUUUUUUU
rnacentral:lncRNA from 1 species